AGUGAACGCUGGCGGUAGGCCUAACACAUGCAAGUCGAACGGCAGCACAGUAAUAGCUGGCGCUUACGGGUGGCGAGUGUCGGACGGGUCAGGAAUACAUCGGAAUCUACUUUUUCGUGGGUGAUAACGUAGGGAAACUUACGCUAAUACCGCAUACGACCUACUUGUGAAAGCAGGGGAUCUUCGGACCUUUCGCGAGUGAAUGAGCCGAUGUCGGAUUAGCUAGUUGGCGUGGUAAAGGCCUACCAAGGCGACGAUCCGAAGCUGGUCUGAGAGGAUGAAUAGCCACCUUGGAACUGAGACACGGCCCAGACACCUACGGGAGGACGCAGUGGGGAAUAUUGGGCGAUGGGGGAGAGCGUGAUCCAGCGCUACCGCGUGGGUGCAGAAGGACUUCGGGUUGUAAAGCCCUUUUGUUGGGAAAGAAAAGAAGCAGUUUCACACCCCGCUGUUAUGACGGUACCCAAAGAAUAAGCACCGGCUAACUUCGUG
rnacentral:rRNA from 1 species